CAAUCCGGCCAAAAUCUUCUUCUGAUUUAAUGUACAAGAUCUAGAUCUACCUUCAUCACGACCCUUCUUCAAAUCUCAAUGAGUUCGACGCUUCUUCUUCUGCUUCUCAUCAUGACCCUCUCUUCCAAAUCUAGAUCUACCACCCUCUCUUCCAAAUCUAGAUCUAUCACCAAAUCCGUUCUAAACAGAUCAACAAUAUGAUUCUGAUUUAAUGUACAAGAUAAGCAAUAUGAACCAAAAACCAGAUCUAAAUAUAUCACAAAUAUAAAACAUCAAAUCGCCAAGAAACCAUUGCUAGAUUCGGCGUUAGUAGUUCGAGAUCUUAGCCGUCGGAAAGGCUAAAUAGCACCUAAGUAAUAGUGAUGGCAAAAAAAGGGGAGGAGAUGGUGGGUCGAAGUGGAGAAGAAGAGAAAAUGGGACAAGGAGACAGGAGGCCGGAAGGAGCAGAGAUGAAGAUGGUGGCGGAGAUGGAAGAUUAUCUGAGAAUUCGUCUGAGAAUGGAAGCAUCAGAGAUGGAAGAAUUGUUUGUUUUGUUUUAAUGUGUAAAAAGUGUUUUGUCAACUUUAGCCCCUGUUUAAAAACUUUAAAUUGACAAAAUAAUGAAAAAAAUAUUUUUGAA
rnacentral:lncRNA from 1 species